rnacentral:lncRNA from 1 species
GAAUAGGAAUGUUUUUAACUGAGGCAGCACGUAUAUUCCUGUUAUAACACUCUUCAUGCAUCUCCUUGAACAACAUCCACUGGCUUCUGUCAGGAAACUCCAGGACCCAAUCCUUUCCCCCUUUCCACAUCAUGGCAUGUGUAAAGCGAUUGGUAGAGCCAGGCUGCAAAAUGUUAUGAACUUUAUAUGAAUACUUGGUAACCCCAGAAAAUUUGACA